rnacentral:lncRNA from 1 species
UGGCCUUUGCUUCUAUACCCUAACUUCUCCCAAGACAGCAUACUUGUAGACCUCCUUGUUUCUGCACAUGGGUGUCCCCUACUCAGCUGCUGUAGUUUAAAUAGGUGGACUGUUAGUUUAGAUAAAGUUAGUGCCAUCGCCAGUGGUAUAUGUGGUGUCUUGACAGUCCUCCUAGAGGUUCAGAUUGUUUGCCAAAUGCUAGACUUUAUAAAGAUUCCUGAAUUUUUUUACCUUUGUGUGCAAAUGUGUUUGUUGUNCUUUAACUACCAGUUCCUAAAAGACCAUUUCUGUAAGAAAAAUUACGUAGCUUAAAGGGAAGAGGUUUCUUCUGUGUUCAGCGGUACUCUUGGCUUCUAAGAGCAGUCCACCACAUCUUGCCUUGAUUUCUAAGAUUACAUCCUUGGGUGGAAAGCUUAGUGAGGCAAUAGUAUCCAAAUGUCCUUUAUAACCACUCUGCUGAUUAUAUGCAAAGUUUUUUAUAUCUUGUUUAUUUUUUUUCUGUUGAGCACUUUAUGCUUUUUAGUCUGUUGCAUUUGAGAGUGGUUUAGAAAUUUUUUCUCUUCUAAAAGCCAUGUAAAAACCUAUAAAGGAUAAUCACUAGAAAAAUGAGUAUGUGUUAUUUUGUAUUUAACUUAUUUGUUUUAUGGUAUGUAUAAGCAAAAUAUUAGAAAUGUACUGCAUUUUUGUAAUAAUACUUUUGACCUUAAUUUUAACAUGAUUUGUCAUGAAAUGUCUCUAAUGUCCUAUUUUCCCAAUAAGGUUGAUUAAGGUGUUUUAUUCUAAUACGGAAGGAAUUCAGCCAACUUGGUUUCUGUCAUGAGAUAAUAAUCUCAGAAAGUAAUGUGCUUUAUCUAUAUUACUGCCUGUUUUCAGUAUUUGAGACAGUUGCUUUAUAUUUCUACUGAGCCUAGGAAAGGAUUAGCAAAGGCUUCAAAAAAUGAGUAAUUUUUUAAAAGAUAUUUUAAUAACCUAUUGAAAAUNNNNNNNNNNNNNNNNNNNNNNNNNNNNNUCUUUUCAGACAUAUAAUUUUUUAAAAAUUUAUUUUAAUUGGAGGCUAAUUACUUUACAAUAUUAUGGUAGUUUUGCCAUACACUGACAUGAAUCCGCCAUCCCACCUCCCUCCCCAUCCCAUCCCUCGGGGUCAUCCCAGUGCACCAUCCCUGAGCAACCUGUCUCACGCAUCGAACCUGGACUGGCGAUCUAUUUCACAUAUGGUAAUACACAUGUU